UACAGGGGGUGCAACCGUUGCUCGGAAUUAUUGGGCGUAAAGCGCGCGUAGGCGGCCGCUUAAGUCGGAUGUGAAAGCCCCUGGCUCAACUGGGGAAGUGCACCCGAAACUGAGUGGCUUGAGUACUAAAGAGGGUCGCGGAAUUCCCGGUGUAGAGGUGAAAUUCGUAGAUAUCGGGAGGAACACCGGUGGCGAAGGCGGCGACCUGGGUAGAUACUGACGCUGAGGCGCGAAAGCGUGGGGAGCAAACAGG
rnacentral:rRNA from 1 species